AAGGGAGAAUAACAAGGUUUCCGUAGGUGAACCGGAGGAUCAUUA
rnacentral:rRNA from 1 species